GGGCGAUUGGCGCAGCGGGAGCGCAGCUGCCUUACAAGCAGAAGGUCACAGGUUCAAAUCCUGUAUCGCCCACCA
rnacentral:tRNA from 4 species